rfam:Trichobilharzia regenti genome assembly, scaffold: TRE_scaffold0064551
AUCCAGCUGACGACUCUUAAAUAGGACGAAAUGCGUGGUAUCCUGGAU